GUGCUUGCUUUGGCAGCACAUAUACUAAAUUUGGAAUAAUACAGAGAAGAUUAGCAUGGUACCUGCACAAGGAAGUCACAAAUUCAUGAAGCAUUCCAUGUUUGU